rnacentral:lncRNA from 1 species
AUAUAGACCUGCGAGGGACGGCAAAAAAACAGCAAAAUUUCCCGAAAAAUCGUGCAAUACAAAUCUAUCUCUUGUUUUGGAAACCCACUUACUGGCAAGGACAUUGACAAUUGAUUUGAGAAAAGAGCGAAACGAAACGACACCAGAUAUCGAAUUCGGAACCCAGUUUUUACAGAAUUACUCAUCAGAAAAUAUCUAGCUCUAGCUCUCUAUGGGAAACUUAAUUAUAAACACAUAUUUAACUUUAAGUUGCUAAGCUUUGGAUUAAAAUAUGAAUUCACAUCUGUCUGAUAUUUAAAGAUAUAAAAAAAAUUAUAGUUUUUCUCAUCUUUUAACGAAUGAAAAUUACAUUUAGUGUAAGUCACUAUAAAUUCAAAUUAUAUUUCAUUUGAAAUCUGUGAUGCCUUCACUAUAGAUGAUUUAGAAUAUAUAAAAUAUAUAUCUGUAAUGCAUACAAUCAUUUACAAAAAAAAGUUUAAAAAACAGAAACAUUGAAACUACCGAACAUAAAUCUUUGUAUAUUUAGCAUGUGUACAAAAACAUAAGCAAACAAAUAAUUAAAACUUGAUGCAAGCUAUAUAUAUAACUUUACAUUGUAAAUGAACAUUAUUAUUACUGUUAGAAGAAUGCAUUACUGCAAAGCUAAGCUGCCGGAAAAUUCAUAAAACAAGCAUACUUUAAGAUAAAUAUCUUCAGAAUCUCUGAGUGUAGUACGUUUUCUCCAUCGCGUGAAUAAAAAUUAAAGAAAUCAACUCGAGAAAAGCACAACUUCCAAGCCAAUAAUUUCUACUGCUUUUUUGAAUGAAUAAAUAGUGAAAUCAACAUUCAUGGUUUUCGUAUUUUCUUUGUUUGAGAGGAACUUAUUACUAUCACCAUUAUCUGUUCAUUUAGACUUUCGAAAGCCAGCUGUUUUACAAAGCCUUCCUGAAGUGAUUUAAUACACACACUACCGAGCUACCAUAAACCUAGCGCAGUAAGAGGAGAAGUUAUUUGCUUACACUUUGAAAUGUGGUACUUAGCGAGCAUUUCGGGACUUGUAAAAAUAAAUAAUAAAUAAUUGAAAAACUGAAAAAUUAACCAAAGAAAUAAUAAAAUAUUGAAACAAAUCUAGAUCUUAAGAUCAUAAGGUUUAGGUACUGUAAGUAGUAAAUAAUUAAUAAUAAUAAUAAUAAUAUUGUAGCAAGUGUUUAGUUAACUUUUUCCACUGCCAGAUCAACCGAAGAAAAGAUAUAAGAAGUGAGUAAAUAUAUUAAAAUUAAAUUAAAAAAAAACAAAUUGAAAGCUAUAAUUGAAAUUAUACCUAAAAGAAAAUUUAACGAAAUGUGUGAAUGUAAUAUAUAGUAUAUAUUUACAGUAUAUUCAGUAUCGAAACGUAAUAAUAGGAACAGGGGACAAAACGUAUACAUUUUUCUACAUUAAUAUAAAUUGUUGAUUGCAUGGUUUUAUUUAUUUUUUAUUUGUUCGUCAAACAAUAAUACCAACGACCAUAAGACCUGAUGUGGGUUGAACAUAUUGCUCACCCGAAUUCGAGAGCUUUAGAGAAUUUCAAAUUAUUCAGAGGUGGAAGGCGUUUAUUACCAACAGGCUGCUGAGAGUAGGAUAACAUUCGUUCUUUUCUCAAAAAAGAAAAAUUAUUCCCAAAAUAACAUGAGCAUUUUAUUAAUUUCUCACUUCAAUACUCCUUUGUAAUUUAUACGCUAUGUGUUCAAAAUAUCAAUAAAUAAAGUAAAUAUUUAUAAUUAAAAGUUUUAUAGUGUUGGAUAUAUUCUAGUAAGGGAAGUUAGCAUUCACAAGUUCUAGAAAUAUAUCCAUAUCUAGGUCUGUUCAUUUGUAUAUAUGAAAGUGUAUUGAUAUAUUAUAUUCAGAGGAAGGGCAUAAAAUAGCUGAAGUAUAGUUAGGCUAGAAGAUGUGUUAUUUUCUAUAUGCUUACUUUAAAGGCAAUUAUACAUAUCAGAAGUCAAAAAUGGUGUUCAAUGUGUAUAGGACUUCUACUUUUCUUUCUCAAAAACUGUAAAUAAUUUUCAUUUACCAAUCAUCUGACAUUUAAUAGUAGCAUAGCAAGCUUUUUAGUGGAGAUGACUAAAUAGGAAGCUAUAAACAAGUAAACUGCGGUAAAUUGUGGAAACUUUAAAGAUCGUAUAUAGCUGGGUACAAAAUAAGACAAAUGUCGAAAAUAUUUUAAAAAUAAAACGUGAAAAUUGUCAAAUUGUUUGCCGAAUAGCAAUAAUAUUAUUUCAUGUUUUCAUGUGAAUGCUAUUAUCAAAAUAUUAAAAUGAAUUAUUUUUUAAUUCAUUUUUUAGUAUCUUUGAAGGAUAAUUUUUAAUCGUUUAUAUUAAAAGUAUGGUUAGCCUAUACGCGGACCAUAUUUGGCAAUUUUUCAGUGUACAAUAUUGGUUUAUACUCUUCCAAUGUUGAAGUCGUACGCAAAAUUACUUAUGCUUAAUUGACAUCAACGAAACUGAAGGUUUUCGGUAAAAUUUCAUUUAUUUGAAAGUCAUAUCAUUCGGUUAGGAAAAUAUGGAUUUAGAACGGCUGAACGCUUUGAUAAUUGUGUAUUUGUCGGAAAUUGGCAAACAAAGCAUUUACAGAUUAGAUUAGAGACAUUCGUUGUUUCCAAAAAGCACCUCAGCGGCCUGGGAGUUCCACAAAUAAAUCAACCCACCAUAUUGAAUUCAUUUUCACUUGUAAAUAGCUUUGUUAAUUCCCGAAGUCAUAUCAAAUCAUAUCCACACUUAUUCGUUUUCAUUUUCAAACCAUUCUGUUGUACAUAAUUACCAUAUUAGUUACAAUGAAAUCAUAGACCACUCACUUAAUUAGAAAACGUAUACAAUGACAUUGAAAACUGCACAUAAAUAUCUCGGAAUGUAGGGAAAUUAUAGAAAAAAGGGUAACCAAAAGAGAAAUUAAGUCAAAUCGGCAAUAAGUAUGGUAAAUUUUCUUUCAGAAUAAAUAGACGAAAAUGAAAUUAUUAAAUGACCGGUAGUAGUGUUAGCAAAUGAAAAGUUAUAUUUACUUCUUUUUCGAAUUUUCCAAUCAAUCCAUCUGAAACACCUAAAAAUUAUUGAAAUAAAGAAAAGGAAAUGAAUUUUCAGUAUUAAGACAAUGUUCAAAAGCAAUUUUGAUUGAAAUAUACAAAAAGAACAAAGCAAAGAUAUAUAAAUAGUGACGACAUUCUUUAUCAGAGGGAGGUAUGUUGAAUAAAUAGGUAAAAACUAAUAAAUAAGAAAUUGAGAGAAAUAACAAUAUUAAAUAAAUUAUUAAACAGUGAAGAUGAGGAAAUAUUAUUAUAGACAAUAAUAAUGAAAAUUAAAAAUAUUAGAACCCACACGGACUUAAAAGGAAGUUAAAACAGAAAUUGAAACAGUAAGAUCUGAAAAAAACGACAACUAUUUUCGCUCAGGUAGUUUUAUUUAGUGGAAUAUAAAAAGCUACUAGACAUAACUACCAUUCGGGCGGGCAGAACAGUUAAAAAAAUAAAAUAUAAUAAAAAUUUGGAGAUACAAUUGCUGCUUGUGUAAAUGGUCAAAAACAUGUAAAAGACUAUAUUGCGAAGUAUUAUCGUCGGUGUUAGCAGAAAUAGUUAAAUGAAAUAAAAUUCAAGAGUUAAAAUAACAAAAAAAAAACAGAAACAAGAAACGUUAUUCUAAUGUUAAUUCAAGAAAUAAAAACUUUUUCUUUUUAAAACAGAAAGGUUAUAUAUAUACAUAUAUCUUAAUUCCUAAUAGAUUAAAAGACAAAAUAUUAAAUAAUGUUAUUAUAUAAUUUUUCAUUCAUAUUGAAAGUAAUAAUUCUCACUGUUUUUUACUUUAUAUGUAUACAAACAUAUAUGUAUCAGUAUAUAUGAACUCUCCAUGUUUUUUUAAAUAGAUGCUAACAAUAUUAUUGAAGUGUUAAUAUUUUAUAUUAAAACUGCGAAAAUUCUAGGUUAAACACAUCUUUUUUUACUUAAUAAUCAGCAGCUUCGUAUUACUAUUCCUUUUUCAAAAGAAUCAAGAUCAAAAUUAUGUUGGAAGCCACCUCCGACUUUCAUAUUUUGAGCGCUUCAUUGUUAAUGCAUAAGAUUAAAAAAUGUUUGUGUGCAUUCAAUAUAUCAUUUGAAAUUAAUCUUUGUAUCUUCUUGGACACUAACUGCACCACUACUUACUUAAACGAAAAAUUCACUAUUCUAAAAGCAACAAAAAAAAAUAUAACAAAAACAAGCAAAACGAAAUCUUCUAAUACAUAUACUAUACUAUCUCAAAUUAUUUUAGUAAUUUUUUUUAAUAACCUCGCGAAGCAAAAAUCUUCUCUUCCUUUUCGCUCCCCCUGUCUAUCACUAUCUUUCUCUCAGAUAUAACUCACUUUACCUACGUAAUUUGUGUAUGUACUGUUGCCGAAAGAUUAAUCUGAUUAUAUUGCAGCGCUUAUUGUUUUACAGAGUCGAAGGAAAAAAAUGUUCGCAUAAAUUACAAAUUAAGAUGAUCAAGAUCUAAAUAUGGAUUAUAUUUAACGAGAAAAAAAUUAUAUUGUUGACGUAAUGAAUACACACAGAAAAUUACAGAAAGUGGAAAGAAAAAAAUAAUAUAAAUACCAAAAAAAAAAGACACGGAAACAAAUCAAUAAAAAAAAAUUGUAUGGAAACGUGAAAUUAAAUUCCCUGUAAUGCUGUUGAAUAAUGGUAAUCAAAGAAAUACAAAUGAAACUAAAAAAUG